AAGCGUGCGCAGGCGGUUUUGUAAGUCAGAUGUGAAAUCCCCGAGCUCAACUUGGGAACUGCGUUUGAAACUACAAGACUAGAAUAUGUCAGAGGGGGGUAGAAUUCCACGUGUAGCAGUGAAAUGCGUAGAGAUGUGGAGGAAUACCAAUGGCGAAGGCAGCCCCCUGGGAUAAUAUUGACGCUCAUGCACGAAAGCGUGGGGAGCAAACAGGAUUAGAUACCCCGGUAGUCCACGCCCUAAACGAUGUCUACUAGUUGUUGGUGGAGUAAAAUCCAUGAGUAACGCAGCUAACGCGUGAAGUAGACCGCCUGGGGAGUACGGUCGCAAGAUUAAAACUCAAAUGAAUUGACGGGGGCCCGCACAAGCGGUGGAUUAUGUGGAUUAAUUCGAUGCAACGCGAAAAACCUUACCUGGCCUUGACAUGUAACGAACUUUCCAGAGAUGGAUUGGUGCUCGAAAGAGAGCGUUAACACAGGUGCUGCAUGGCCGUCGUCAGCUCGUGUCGUGAGAUGUUGGGUUAAGUCCCGCAACGAGCGCAACCCUUGUCAUUAGUUGCUACAUUUAGUUGGGCACUCUAAUGAGACUGCCGGUGACAAACCGGAGGAAGGUGGGGAUGACGUCAAGUCCUCAUGGCCCUUAUAGGUGGGGCUACACACGUCAUACAAUGGCUGGUACAAAGGGUUGCCAACCCGCGAGGGGGAGCUAAUCCCAUAAAGCUAGUCGUAGUCCGGAUCGCAGUCUGCAACUCGACUGCGUGAAGUCGGAAUCGCUAGUAAUCGUGGAUCAGAAUGUCACGGUGAAUACGUU
rnacentral:rRNA from 1 species